rnacentral:lncRNA from 12 species
UGGGGACACCGGGACUGGGAUGGGGACACUGAAACUGGGAUGGGGACACCGGGACUGGGAUGGGGACACUGAAACUGGGGUGGGGACACCGGGACUGGGAUGGGGACACUGAAACUGGGGUGGGGACACCGGGACUGGGAUGGGGACACUGGGACAGAAACACCAAACCUGGACCAGCCCCAACCCCCCCGCAACCACUGCCACUCCCUCGGGCACUCCCGGAGGUGCCACCACGCUGUCCCCAGGUGUCCCCAGGUGUGUCCCAGGUGUACCCAGGUGUGUCCCCAGGUGUACCCAGGUGUGUCCCAGGUGUACCCAGGUGUGUCCCCAGGUGUACCCAGGUGUGUCCCAGGUGUACCCAGGUGUGUCCCCAGGUGUACCCAGGUGUGUCCCAGGUGUACCCAGGUGUGUCCCCAGGUGUACCCAGGUGUGUCCCAGGUGUACCCAGGUGUGUCCCCAGGUGUACCCAGGUGUGUCCCAGGUGUACCCAGGUGUGUCCCCAGGUGUACCCAGGUGUGUCCCAGGUGUACCCAGGUGUGUCCCCAGGUGUGCCCAGGUGUGUCCCAGGUGUACCCAGGUGUGUCCCCAGGUGUGCCCAGGUGUGUCCCAGGUGUCCCCAGGUGCCCCCAGCUGUAUCCAGGUGUAUCCCAGGUGUAUCCCAGGUGCCCCCAGCUGUCCCCAGCUGUAUCCAGGUGUAUCCCAGGUGCAUCCCAGGUGCCCGCAGGUGCCCCAGGUGCGCUGACCUCGGCACUCGGUGCCCGCGGGCUCGGAGGUGAAGCCGGCCCCGCAGAGGCACCUGAAGCUGCCCAGGGAGUUCUCGCAGCGCCCCGGGGAGCAGGGCGGGGGCACCUGGCGGCACUCGUCGAUGUCUGCGGGCACAGGUGA